UACUGUCAAUGCUCCAGAAUUCCCCUAAGCUACAAAGAGCAUCACCCACACCAUCUUUUAUUCUUCCUCGCCUUUAUGGAGAAGAAAAAAAAAAACAGAGGAAAAAAAGAUGUUCUUCACAUCUCUGAAAGAAAAAUACAUUCUAUGGGGCAAAGGAAAUGCUACUUAUCUGCAUCUUCAUUUAUUGGUAUUAUGCACACCCUCAAAUCACUGUUACUGCUGAACAUCGCAUGGCAUGAUGCAGGCUGGGCAUCGCUUCCUGAGACAGACAGUCCCUGGGGCUCCCUGGGUUCACUCCCCCGCCCUGCCUCCCCGGCGCCUUGCCCAGGAGGAGGGCAUUGCCACGCUGGGGGAAGAGCUGAGCCCCUACUCCAGACCUACGUGCUGCUGCUUCACUCCCUCCUCUCAUUCCUGCUUGUUUACUUUAUAGAAACCAAACAGUGACUGACAAAAGACAUCUUGGCCAAGAAGAAGAUGAAGCAUCUGGUGUCAUGAGACUUUUGCAGUGAACCUUCCCACCCUGCAGGAAUCUGUGACCCCGGGAGCAUCAGAACGUGUGGUGGGGUCUUUGUAUUUCAGACCGUGCUGUGGGACCUUCUCCCGUAACUUCAUGUGGUAACUCUUUGAAGACUCGUAAGCUAGCAGCCUCAGCACCUUGCUGUAAUCUUUGGUUUAACCAUGUAUUAUCUGGAAAGUCACUUCCUCACCACUCUUUUGAAUUUUCCUCCUGCUGGCUUACUUGUGGACUGUCUAGUUCUUACACUGGAAUUGUUUCCCACAUCCCUGCCCCAUGCCAGCAAAGAUUUUAUAGACUUGUACCAUACGUACCUUCUCAGUUGUCUCUUUUUCAGGCUGAACAGUCUGUAUCUAUUUAAGUUAUUCCUUGCACAGAAGCUGUCCUAUUGAGUUUCAUCUGCUAUUUUAUCAUCUAUGCCAUGUCAUUAGGGGCUUCUGCAGUUCUUUAUUAUCUUUAUACCUUACCUUUACCCUUAUCUUUUUUAUCCUGAAUUACUUCCUUUGCUGAUUACUUCCUUCAACUUGAAUCCUGAGCAUUUAUUCCCCUUUCUCUUUAUUGAUAUGGGGGCAUGUCCCCUUGUUUUGUGGUACCUUCUUUAAGAGCUUUUGGUGAGGAAUCUUGUCAAAAUGCUUUUAGAAAACCGAAUACAUACAACAAUCAUAUCUUCUUUGUCCAUCUUCUUUGUUUCCAGCAUAAUGUAGUAAUUAUGUCAGAUGGGACUUGCCUUUGGGACUUGCCUUUACAAAAUCCGUGUUGAUUCUUCCCAAGAAAUUAGUAUGUAUCCAUGUAAUUCUCUUCCUCAUAUGGGCUUAUUGCUUGGUAUUUCAUUGCAUGUAACGUGGAUUCCUUUCCAAAAGUGGUGCCACAGUAACCUUGUACUGUAAUAUGGAAGCAAUUGUAAGCUUAAAGUUAUGCAUCGGUUCAAAUGUUCCACAUUUUGAGAGCUCUUGUGUGAAUACCAUCAAGACCUUGCAAUUUAUUAACAUUAAUUUUGUGAUUUGUUCCCUAAUCUCUUCUACUGACAUUUUAUUGAGUUAGAGCCUCCACUGUGUUUCCCAAAGACUCCUUGUAUGGAAACCUUCCCAAGUUCCUCUGUAAUCAAGGUAAAUUAAAAAAAUUCAUGCAGCUUUUUUUGGUACUGCAGCUAGACCAGUGAAAUAAUGUGCUCACAGCAUGGCUUCUGAUUAUUGUGGUCACUAUUUUACAAGGAACACACAACAGCUGUUAUAGGCAUGUGAUGCAGGAGCUCUACAAAGCCAGGUUUGCAGACCAGCAAUAAUUUAUGUAAGUCUCCUGGCCACCUGAUGCUUUUUAAUAUGGAUCUCUGUACAGCACAGGUAGAAUCUAAAUACUUUGGUUUACAUAUUAGCCAACACCAGCUUCCUCUGCUGUAUUAUUUUCUUCUCUUGUCUUUGGCUGAUAUAAGGAGACAUAUACCAACUCAGGAUAUGUUCCUAACUUUUAAAACUGUUUCCCACUUCAGUGCAAAGGUGAGUGUUAAUUUAGUUCUGUUAUUAACUUCUGUAACUAUUCUCUGGUGUAACAAUAUAUAUAUACCUCUAAAUAGCAGCCAGACAGUAACUGUCCAAAUGAUAGCCAAUAUCAUGGUGGCUGCAAAAUUCAUUGGGGAACCACUGGUCUAGCAAUCCAUUACCAAGAUUGGAUUUUAUAGCUUGCUUUCUGUUUUAUCUCCACAGGAAACUCACUUAAAGACAAUUUAAAGGCUAGAUGCUUCCUUAUACUUGUGUAGCUGAGAGCUAAAUACCGUUGUAAGGGAACUAGGGCUUAAAAUGACUGAGCAAUAUCAAAUGAACAUUUUCUACCUCUCUUUUUGCAGAAAACUAUGUCCAAGUGUAACUAUAAAGCUAAUUGAAAUCAUGAUGGAAGUUUCUAAUAGCUAUUAAUGGCUUCAUAUUAUAAUAUCUUUUCUUGUAGCAAUAAUACUUUCAAAACUACCCUGACCGGCAGUCCUUUCUUGUUGCUGUCAUUGUUGUAUUAAUUGUGUUUUCUUUCUAACUUAGGGAGAAGGUUGCACUGUUUAGUUUUAUUUAUACUGCUAAAUAUUAUGACUCAGUAUGGCAUGGAACAUGACUCUUAGCAAUGAUACCAUUUACAGGCAAUGGUUAUAAUAACAAGACAAACAGUACUUACUGGUAAUUGAGGUCCUUAAUUAAUAACAUUUUAAAUCCUAGGACAAUCUGUUCAUUAAACAUUGCAGUAAAACUGCUCAAAAUUCAUGUCUUCUAUUCACAUUGUACCUGGAAUCAUUGCUGUGCUAACAGGUUUCAUCAGUCUCUCAAUUAAAUCUGACAAAUAUAAACUGCUUUGCCAUAUAGUUAGAAAAAACACCUUUAUUUUAGAGCCUGUGGUAAUCCAGGCUUUUGAAUCUACAUCCUGGUUCAGCUGGUAGCUGCAUCACUACUAAGCCUCUGUUCCAGCAUGGCGGGAGAAAGAAAUUACAUGGCUGUUAGCAUCUGGAAGACUUGCCUUCCAGGCAUCAAAUAUCACUGAGAAGGAUUUACAGCACCUCUUUACCACGUAAAGCAAGCCCAACAGCAGGAACAUCUGGAUGUGGUCCAGUUUGGCUGAAGAAUAAGGAACAGCACCUCAGCAAGUGUCCACUGCUGGGAACUGCAGCUCCUCUGAAGAUCCAUAAAUUCCAGUGAUCUGGGGCUUCACUUUGGUGACAGAUGAUGGCCGGGAGAACAUAAUGGAGAGGUGACCUGAAGCAGCUCUAGUGCGGGUUUGUGUCAGGUCCUGGUGCACAGCUCUAUCAGCUAAAAACUAGGAACUGUCACACAAUACUUGGUAGCUGAAGAGCGUCUUCUGGGGAAGCUGAAGGCGUUGCAGUUGCCACUCUGCCCAUCUGUGCUAGCACAUGCUCCAGCUCACAUGACAGGGAAGAGUCUGGUCUUUGGCAAAGCAUUUCCACUUCUCUCAGUGUUGCAGAGGUAUCUGUCCCAUCUGUCUUCUGCUUCAGAUCACUGUAAUUUGAGAAUAGCACCCUGGCACUGAGGACUGAUAGCUGUGAUUGGGUAAGUGCUAGAAAUCAAGCCUGAAAUGAAAGUCCAGCUAAAUUAAGAAAUGUUUACAGUCAGAAAGGUCUGCCUCACACCUCUAAGGCUGUUACUUUUUUCUCGUCAUUUUCCACCAGAAAUCUUUUCUAGGUAAGUACUUGCAGUUCACAGUUAAGAUACAACUUAACCUUUCAGGUAAAUGCUAAGUGAUUUUCUUUGCUUUAUAAGAACUGAUGCUUUUUAAAAAGUCAGGAACAAACAAUCAGAUAUGUUUAAAUGAACACCUGGACAGUGCCAGAUGUCAUUCAUCUAAGUUGGUAUGGCAGGACUAAGUUUUUUCCUUUGUCUGUAUUAUUCACAAAGAUGGGACACUCCGCAUUUAGAGUACUCUCCUGUCGUGACAGCACUGCAGUAUAAAUUUUCCACCUGAACCCUGUCAUUCUGUUCUCAGUUCAAGUAAUUUCUGACAAGGACUGUGGGUCUUGGCAGUUUCAGCUGAAGUCUUGGUGAGGGAAAACAUGACUGAAAUACUACAGAAAGAAAAAUCCACUUUAAUUUUGAGCAGUGCAUCAGGACCUGACACAAACCCACACUAGAGCUGCUUCGGUUUCUUUAAAAUUCUUUUUCACUUAAAAUACAAGCUCAUACAAGAGUUUGAAUAUUGCUUAUAUUGCUUCCUAUGGUCAUCUUGAUGUUGAUGCUUUGGUAAACUUUUCAUUCACAGUCACCUUGAGCCAGAUCCAGUAAAAGACUUUGGUGCCUUAAAGCACCAAGUUUACAUUUUCAGGUGCCUGAGCCUGAGCUGUAUUGCAAAGCACCUACAGUUCCUAGUGGUGCACAGAGAGCACAUUAGAUUGGAGAUCGUCCAAAAUAUUUUUGUGGCAAGCAGGGAAAAACCUACAGCUAAAUGCUAAAUCCUGUAAUAGGUCAGAAAUUUUUGCUCCACUCCAGAGCUUAGGUAUGUGAAUUGGGACUGCAAGGCACCCUUCUUGUGUCAUUCAAAACCCAGAGCUGAAAACACACUCCUAAAUGUUCCUGGGCAGAAUGAGCAGGUGCUGUUUCCCCCUUCUCCACAGUAGCCCAUCUCUUAAAGCAGAGAAGUUUGAAAUCCACAUCCCACAGAGCAGGUAAUUCACUCACUUCCACUAUCAAACUGGGAAGAAGAGAAGUUAAAGGAGAUUUGAUGAGGGACCCCAACUGACGCCACCUAUUGGUAGCUGGCCAUUAUGCAAUUAAAAAUAACAGGAUUCCCAGGAUUAGGAAUUCUGGGAAUUCCCAGGAAAGCAAACAAAAAGGAUCUGUGUCCAGUGGUUAGGGCACACAGUAAUGGAAAGAGAGGGGAAAAGGUUGGUCUCUGCCUGCAGAGCUUGCUUACAUUCCUGAUCGUACUAUUCAUUCCAUAAUUAAAAAUUAUGUACCGUAAAGUCAGGGUUGCUAAACCCAAUCUGGGCCAGCUGUGCUCUCAGAAAUGAUAUGAUAACUGUGAAAACAUGAAUUUGGGAGAGAGGAAUCUUUGGACAUACAUCCCUGCUUCUGGCAUAUCAUUUCACCUGUGUUAGCAGCACUUUAUAGUAUAAAACUGCAAUUUCUCUGCAGGCAUCAGUAGCCAGACCUCAGGGCUGUGGAUUUCACAAAGCAGGAGCUAAGCAUCUAAAGUUUAAACACUAACAUCAAGUUAAUUUGGAUACCAAAAAUUCUUCCCUUUGAGAAAUUACAAAACAUGUAGAAAAAAGAGAUUAGGAGGUAAGAGAAAAGAAUAUAAUCUAUAACAGACUCUUUAGGAUAAGUGAAAUGUGGUCUUUAUACAAAUGUAGAUUUAUAUAAACUUCAAUGGGUUUAGUUUAUUUAACAUUUUAAAAUUGUGCUGUGGUUCUAGAAGGGAGAAAAUGUUGGGACCUUCAAGUGUAAGAAAUGUGUUGUUAACCUUCAAGCAGCUAGCUAGCCCACCUUAAUUCUCAAUUACGAAGGAGCUGAUUUGACAGCUGUCAUUAAAUCUAUUCAGAUUUAUUCUGGGGUGUACACAGAUGUUUGAUAGGGGUAAAGGGAGGGAACGGUUUAUUGGACUGCUCUCUGGAGGGGCUGCUCAAAUGCUGUGCUGGCCCAUCAGAUGGUGAAGUGCUGUUUUGUCGCCAGUUCCAGAAGCUGAAGUGAAACUUCAAAUUCACAUCUUAGAUUCCUUUCUGCAAGAUUCACCUGAUGUUUUUCCUUUGUUUGUGGACGAAAGUCAAAAUCAGGAGAUGUGAAAGAGACGGGUGGCUUCAAAAGGGACUUCUGUAAUUAGCUACAGACUGCAGUGUAGUCACUAUAUUGACAUCAGAUCCUGUUUCAGGUACGUGACAUCACUAUUUUACUAAGGACAAAGGAUGCAUAUUGCAAAGGUGGGAUAAGGAUGGACCAUCCACCAUAGACUAAGUUCCUGUGGGCCUUGAUGUACCUUUGCAGGCACCAGCUAUCACUUUGCAACCUUCCCUCCCAAAAUCCCCAAGAGAAAUGACGGCACUGAUUCUUCAGCCUGAAAUGGGGACAAAACCAAUGUAAAGACACUUUUCAGUUCAGAAAAUGAACAUCAGAAAUACGUCUAACUGCAAUGGCAGUUCCUCAUAGCAAGUAGGGCCAAAGAAUACAAGAGCUGAAAUGUUGAAUAUCUUUUUAUAUUAAUCAUUUAACUCUGUUUUUUGGGAGAAUACAAUUUGGAAUCCUUGUAGCCACAGAGGAAAGUACCAGAGUACAUUUCCAUACUAAACUAGAAUGCUUUCCCUUCCAAUCACACAUUGUGGUUUUCCUAGGGUUUUGUCAGUGGUGGAUCAGUGAAAGAGCUACUGAAAUAUGUGCUCAUCAAAAUACCUCGUAACAUUUAUAUUCCCUGGGAUAGAAGAGAGAAAGAGCGGGCUGAUUAGCAUCGGUACUUGAUGGUGAACUUCCAAGAAGAAAACAUUAAUUGGCUUCUGAGAUUGUAAUAUAGAUUUGUGCUCAUUUGCUUUUUAUGCUAAAAUAUUUGCCCAGUUAAAGAUUUAUGCCACAUCUGUAGUCGAUCGUGUUUUGGAACUAAAUGAAUGGUUACCUCACUGAAUUUCUUGCUUUAGGAUUUAGGAGUGAUUAUUUGCAGUGUUCAUUUGAUGGUUUUGACUAAUCUGAGGAUUUACUGCUAGUGGUGCUGAUAAAUUGUUACAUGAUUUUAUUUUGACCAUAUUUUGAUAUUUGCACUGAUUAAGUCCUAAGUGAUUGGGAAGUAUUUGUAGAAGGCUUAACUAUUUUGUCCUCUUUAAAUUGAUUCCUGCUUAUUUAUUACUUUUAAUAAAAUUCAUGAAAAGCACGUUCAGUCACUUUAUCUUCAAUACAUGGUUUUAGAUGAGGCACUGAGACUGAACCAAUUACUUUCAUAUACCUUUGGCUGACUCUGGGUGAUUUAAUAGACGAACGGGAGGGAAUUAUCCAGUAUCAAUGAGUGAAUGCAUACUGGUUCUAAGUGCAUGGUAACUGCGGACAUGGCUUGGUAAAAGCAGAGAUAUCAUUAAUUUCAAUUGUACUCAGACUGCCCUUUCCCAGUAUGAUUUCCUGUCUCAAAAUGGCCAAUAAAACAGAAGUUUCAGUGCACAAGGAAGUUUUUGACAUAUGAUCUUAAUUCAAAUCAGAUUAAAACCAACUUUUAUAAAAAUUUCCUAUGAAGCAAAAAUUCCCCAGAGCCAGCAACUGUUCUGUGAAUAUUACAUUCUUGUCAGUUUGACUAAAAAUAGCUGUAAUAUUGAUAUAUGAGAGCAGUUGCAGGGGUUUUCAGUAUUCUUGGGCCCACAGCAGAUCUCUUGGUGGGAUGUCAAGACGUUAACCCUGAUGCUCUCAGGAUCUAUAGCUCUGCGAUAGGCACAAACCUCUUCUGGCUCCAGAGGAACUGUGCUGAGUCCCAGAUGCUUUGAAUGAAGUAUUUCAGGCUCACUGAGCUAGUGGUUCCAAGCAGAAUUUUUUCUCUUCACAAAAAGUCUGAAACUCCUGAAGACAGUUAUGAGUUGGUAAAAUGUCCUGAUUUGUCUUGCAAUCAACUGAAACAGCACAGUUUGUAAUAACUCUCAGUUGCAUAUCUCACCCCUGGGCUGACCUGAUUACAUUGCAGCCUAGCCUUCAUUUUGAAAAUUAAGUUUCAAAAGGUGCCCCAAAUGCUUUCAAAGACCAUUUUUUUUUCAGCUGAUCCUUCAAAUACACUGAAACAACCACUCCGAGAGUUGAAGUUACCCUUCUGGUCUCUUUUGGAGGAUUAACUGGAAGAGGUUGAAGUUCACCAAGCCACAUGGUCAAUGGACUACAUCCCCAUUACAGCAGAGAAUCUCCUGCAACAAUAGAAAAGAGCUGCAGAGCCAGCUGGUCCCUCUGUUCCCAGCUGUCCUGGUACCUCAACAGAGAGGAAAACCCAAGCUACCAACUACUGCCUCCCAUGUGAAGUGGCAGCACAUACUGUACUGUAACGUACAACCUAUCCAAGCUCUAAAGCAAUGGAAACUACCACUUGCUUCUUACUGCAGCCUGCAGUUAACCUUCUGUAUCUGCAGAACAUGCAGAACAGGGGAACAGAGAAAACAGCACUCCAGUUUUUUGAAAUGGAAAAAUUUGCCUUUCAGAGCAAUAACCUGCAUCAGGAGGAGCAGAGACAGCAGCCAAACAGAAGUGGUGGCGGAGCAGGAAAUUGCACCGUCCAUUCAGAAGAGAUCAGCACUGGUGCUCCUGUCAGCCAGCUUUUGUAGAAGAAAAAAAAAAAGGCUGAAGGUGGGAUUCAGAUUCAAAUUCAGACCCCUAGAUUGAGGUUUCAGCCAUGUCAGCCUACAGGAUAU